UAUGUUCUUUAAAUUUAAAAAAUUUGGCGGUAUUUUAAUUUUAUUAAAGGAACCUGUUUAUUAAUUGAUAAUCCACGAUUAAUUUUACUUAUUUUAUUAAUUCAUAUAUCGCUGUCAUGAAUAUAUUAAAAAAUUUAUUUUCUUUAUUUAUAUUUAUAAUUUAUGUUAAGUCAAGAUGUGGUUUAUAAAUAAGUAUAUAAUGGGUUACAUUGAAUUAUAUUUUUGGAUUUUAAAUGAAAAUUAAAAUGAAAUUGGAUUUAAAAGUAAAUUUAUUUAUUUAAUUAAUAUGAAUAAAGAUCUAAAAUAUGUACAUAUUGCCCGUCAUUCUUAUUAAAAAUAAGACAAGUCGUAACAAAGUAAAUGUGCUGGAAAGUGUAUUUAGAAAGAUUUAUUUAUAUAAA
rnacentral:rRNA from 1 species